rnacentral:rRNA from 1 species
GAUGAACGCUGGCGGCGUGCUUAAUACAUGCAAGUCGAGCGAACAGAUGGGGAGCUUGCUCCUCUGACGUUAGCGGCGGACGGGUGAGUCACACGUGUAUAACCUACCUAUCAUUCUGGUAUAACUUCGGGAAACCGGAUCUAAUACCGGAUAAUCUCUUGAACCGCAUGGUUCAAUAGUUAAAGACGGCUUUUCUGUCACUCAUCUAUGGUUCCACGCCGCUUUAGCAAGUUGUGAAGGUAACGGCUUACCAAGGCAACAAUGCGUCUCCGAACUGAGUGGGUGAUAGGCCACCCGGGAACUGAGACAAGGUCAAGACUCCUACGGAAGGCAGAAGUAGGGAAUUGUACGCAACAGGCGAAAGCAUGACGGAACAACGCCGAGUGAGUGAUGAAAGUAUUCGGAUCGUAAUACUGUGUUAUUAGGGAAGAACAAAUGUGUAAGUAAAUAUGCACGUAUUGACGGUACCGAAUCAGAAAGCCACGGCUAACUACGUG